rnacentral:tRNA from 1 species
ACGGAUAUAGUUCAAUUGGUAGAACUGCGGACUUCAAAUCCGCCUGUUAUGGGUUCAAGUCCUGUUAUCCGUGCCA